rnacentral:rRNA from 1 species
AGUCAAGUAAUUAAGUGCAUGUGGUGGAUGCCUUGGCAGUCAGAGGCGAUGAAAGACGUGAUAGCCUGCGAAAAGCUCCGGGGAGGCGGCAAAUAUCCUUUGAUCCGGAGAUGUCUGAAUGGGGGAACCCACCUACUUUAAGGUAGGUAUUGCAACAUGAAUACAUAGUGUUGCAAGGCGAACGAGGGGAAGUGAAACAUCUCAGUACCCUUAGGAAAAGAAAUCAAUUGAGAUUCCCUCAGUAGCGGCGAGCGAACGGGGAUCAGCCCAUUAAGUUAUGUGUGUUUUAGUGGAACGCUCUGGGAAGUGCGAACGUAGAGGGUGAUAUUCCCGUACACGAAAGGGCACACAUAAUGAUGACGAGUAGGGCGAGGCACGUGAAACCUUGUCUGAAUAUGGGGGGACCAUCCUCCAAGGCUAAAUACUCCUGACUGACCGAUAGUGAACCAGUACCGUGAGGGAAAGGCGAAAAGAACCCCUGUGAGGGGAGUGAAAUAGAUCCUGAAACCGCAUGCAUACAAGCAGUGGGAGCACCUUCGUGGUGUGACUGCGUACCUUUUGAUUAAUGGGUCAGCGACUUAUAUUCAGUAGCGAGGUUAACCGUAUAGGGGAGCCGUAGAGAAAUCGAGUCUUAAUAGGGCGUUUAGUUGCUGGGUAUAGACCCGAAACCAGGCGAUCUAUCCAUGAGCAGGUUGAAGGUUGGGUAACACUAACUGGAGGACCGAACCCACUGUCGUUGAAAAGCCAGGGGAUGACUUGUGGAUAGGGGUGAAAGGCUAAUCAAGCCUGGUGAUAGCUGGUUCUCCCCGAAAGCUAUUUAGGUAGCGCCUCGGACGAAUACCAUAGGGGGUAGAGCACUGUUUCGGCUAGGGGGUCAUCCCGACUUACCAAACCGAUGCAAACUCCGAAUACCUAUGAGUACUAUCCGGGAGACAGACUGCGGGUGCUAACGUCCGUAGUCAAGAGGAAAACAAUCCAGACCGCCACGCUAACGGACCCCAAAAUCAUAGUUAAGUGGGAAACGAUGUGGGAAGGCAUAGACAGCUAGGAGGUUGGCUUAGAAGCAGCCACCCUUUAAAGAAAGCGUAAUAGCUCACUAGUCGAGUCGGCCUGCGCGGAAGAUGUAACGGGGCUAAAACUAUGUGCCGAAGCUGCGGAUGUAUACUUUGUAUACGUGGUAGGGGAGCGUUCUGUAAGCCGAUGAAGGUGUGUUGAGAAGCAUGCUGGAGGUAUCAGAAGUGCGAAUGCUGACGUGAGUAACGACAAAACGGGUGAAAAACCCGUUCGCCGAAAGACCAAGGGUUCCAGUCCAACGUUAAUCGGGGCUGGGUGAGUCGACCCCUAAGGCGAGGCCGAAAGGCGUAGUCGAUGGGAAAAUGGUUAAUAUUCCAUUACUUCUGUGUAAUGCGAUGAGAGGACGGAGAAGGCUAAAUCAGCCUGGCGUUGGUUGUCCAGGUGAAAGGAAGUAGGCAUGUAUCUUAGGCAAAUCCGGGGUACUCUAUGCUGAGAUCUGAUAGCAAGCUGCACUUGUACAGCGAAGUGGUUGAUGCCAUGCUUCCAGGAAAAGUCUCUAAGCUUCAGUUACACAGGAAUCGUACCCGAAACCGACACAGGUGGUCAGGUCGAGUAGACCAAGGCGCUUGAGAGAACUCUGCUGAAGGAACUAGGCAAAAUGGUACCGUAACUUCGGGAGAAGGUACGCUGUUGUUGGUGAUGGAACUCGCUUCCUGAGCUGACGACAGCCGCAGAAACCAGGCCGCUGCAACUGUUUAUUAAAAACAUAGCACUCUGCAAACACGAAAGUGGACGUAUAGGGUGUGAUGCCUGCCGGUGCUGGAGGUUAAUUGAUGGGGUUAGCGUAAGCGAAGCUCUUGAUCGAGCCCCAGUAAACGGCGGCCGUAACUAUAACGGUCCUAAGGUAGCGAAAUUCCUUGUCGGGUAAGUUCCGACCUGCACGAAUGGCAUAAUGAUGGCGGCGCUGUCUCCAGCAGAGGCUCAGUGAAAUCGAAAUCGCUGUGAAGAUGCAGUGUACCCGCGGCUAGACGGAAAGACCCCGUGAACCUUUACUGCAGCUUGACACUGAACUUUGACCUUACUUGUGUAGGAUAGGUGGGAGGCUUUGAAGCUGGAACGCUAGUUCCAGUGGAGCCGUCCUUGAAAUACCACCCUGGUAAUGUUGAGGUUCUAACUCUGUCCCGUGAUCCGGGACGAGGACCGUGUCUGGUGGGUAGUUUGACUGGGGCGGUCUCCUCCUAAAGAGUAACGGAGGAGUACGAAGGUGCGCUCAGCGUGGUCGGAAAUCACGCGUAGAGUAUAAAGGCAAAAGCGCGCUUAACUGCGAGACCCACAAGUCGAGCAGGUACGAAAGUAGGUCUUAGUGAUCCGGUGGUUCUGUAUGGAAGGGCCAUCGCUCAACGGAUAAAAGGUACUCUGGGGAUAACAGGCUGAUACCGCCCAAGAGUUCAUAUCGACGGCGGUGUUUGGCACCUCGAUGUCGGCUCAUCUCAUCCUGGGGCUGAAGCAGGUCCCAAGGGUAUGGCUGUUCGCCAUUUAAAGAGGUACGCGAGCUGGGUUUAGAACGUCGUGAGACAGUUCGGUCCCUAUCUACCGUGGGCGCUGGAAAUUUGAGAGGAUCUGCUCCUAGUACGAGAGGACCAGAGUGGACGAACCUCUGGUGUACCGGUUGUGACGCCAGUCGCAUCGCCGGGUAGCUAUGUUCGGAAGGGAUAACCGCUGAAAGCAUCUAAGCGGGAAGCCUACCUCAAGAUAAGAUUUCCCUAGGACUUUAUGUCCUCUAAAGAGCCGUUCGAGACUAGGACGUUGAUAGGUUGGAUGUGGAAGCAUAGUGAUAUGUGAAGCUGACCAAUACUAAUUGCUCGUGAGGCUUGACUAUACAACACCC